GACGAACGCUGGCGGCGUGCUUAACACAUGCAAGUCGAACGGACGAGUGAGAUAAGUUUACUUAACUCACAAGUUAGUGGCGGACGGGUGAGUAACACGUGGAUAAUCUACCUGCAACACCGGGAUAACGCUGUGAAAACGGUGCUAAUACCGGAUACGUUCCCUUGUGCGCAUGUAUGAGGGAAGAAAGCUCAGGCGGUUGCAGAUGAGUCCGCGGCUGAUUAGCUAGUUGGUGAGGUAAAGGCUCACCAAGGCGAUGAUCAGUAGCCGGCCUGAGAGGGUGAACGGCCACACUGGGACUGAGACACGGCCCAGACUCCUACGGGAGGCAGCAGUGGGGAAUCUUCCGCAAUGGGCGCAAGCCUGACGGAGCAACGCCGCGUGGGUGAAGAAGGCCUUCGGGUUGUAAGCCUGUCUUAUGGGAAGAGUCAGUGACGGUACAGUAGAGGAAGCCACGGCUAACUACGUCGCCAGCAGCCGCGGUAAAGUACCUCUACG
rnacentral:rRNA from 1 species